rnacentral:sRNA from 1 species
CUUUCUUGGGAGAAAAGGCGGAUAAAGACUCGUCACAAUUUAAGCACAAAAAAGGCAGCCACCAGCUGUGUUGUUUCUUUUCCUGAAACAAUCAACAGGCAGCAUCGUCAUCCAUCAUCUAUUUCCGACUUUCUGUUUGCCACGCCGCACGCCCCGCCCAUCAAAAUAAAGCAUCCCCCCCAUGGCCUCAUCUGGCUUUCAGCGUUCGCUGAAAUACUUUCUAUUGUUCCAGAUUCUCGCACCCUUUACACGCAAGAACAGUGCUGUACUUCUUCCUCAAGAUCUCCUUGCCCUUGUUAAUUACCAUGCACCACACAUGCUCCUUUUUUUUUUCUCGAACAGCAAAUUUGGGGUCCGAGACAAUUCAAUGCCCCAUCACUCGGGAUCCGGGAUUUUCGGGUAGUUCAUGUUGAGUGAUGACAGGAAAAAUCUGCAAAUACACGCGAACGAAGCUGGAUCAUUCUGGAUUCUGGUUUUGGCCCUCGGAGCUUCGUCGGGUACUGUGGGGCCCUUCAAUGGCCUGCAAUUGCAUUUGAUCGAUAGCGUUUUCUCUUCAUUUUCAUCUUCGACGUACGCUGGAGCCCUGCAAGAAGGCUUGAAACUGUCUCCUGCUUCAUGGGAGUUUGCUAUUCAACUGUGAGUCUGAGACUCCACUUCCAGGGUCCCAUUGGCACGCCUCAUACUUUCUCACUACGGCCUAUGUGGGGCUAAACUGCGGUUCACCCUGCGGCAUGUGUUGAAUGGGCAUGAUUCGUCGCAUCAGGCUGCAGAUCCACGUCAUCUGCGACAUCUCUUCACAAUUCAGCCGUUACUAAAUACCGCCCAUGACUGUCACGCCCCUUACAACUGACUUAUUUGCCAUCCUUUAGCAUUGCUCUGCCGAUUGCUGUUGUGAUAACAACUGCUGUGGGCCUUGUUGUGACUUUUGUUGUGACCGAAGAAGCUAUAGGCCAUACGUCAGGGAACCUCGUGGUGAGUAUCUAUCAGCCUUUAUCUUUAACAGAGCCCUGCUUCUUGACCCCAAGUUAUCUGGGGUUUUUGAGCAUUACGUAGAGCAAGGAAUACGGUAAAUUGACCUAUCAGGAUUCGACCGGUAGUACCGGUAACAGAAGGUCUACAAUUCGGUCUACAUUUUGUUUCAGAACUUUCUGUAUGGGAGAUGAUCCGUACAAUUUUUCCGUAUCGUCUUUGUGCCUUUAAUGGCAAAAACCCUUGUAUCAACCUGCAACAAAAAAUGCUUAUUCUCCUGUGACUGUAGCCCCUCCCCCUCUUGUUGUUCCCGUGCAUCCCUCUGCCCAUUCUGUUAUCCACCAGCCAGCACCCAUACCACCUCCUCUCAUAGUGUAUUCACCAUCUACAAAAAUAUCAAACGCUCAAACGCCUCGAGUAUACCAACCUUCUGUCCUGAUUCCAGAACCCUUUGUCUAUCCUCACCAUAUUGCGUAGGAACAUUAUCCUGAACCGGCCUUACCUGGUCAGCUAUCUACAAGAGAUAGAAAAGAAAAACAGAGAUAAACAAGACCAUCCUAGCAGGAGGUACUCCAGUGACAAAACCCAGCACAAGAGCCGAUAAAAUAGACCUCAGAAAGGAUUUGACACCAAAACCUCACAUUUACCGACGAGAGUUUUUACCUGACCUCGCCACUCUGUUCUGGACAGUAGACCAAUCGUAGGUCACAUCACCUAGAAAAGUCCGGAGAUCCGACCACCUGACAAUUUGCUUCGAACAUCCAACAUUACAACUCCAAUUUCAAGAAAAAAUCGAUCACCAACCCUCUACAUCUCAGCCGCCUAGGCGAACAGCACGCUUUCCAUACGUCUAGGGUUCAUUCCAGCUAUCGCCGCUGAGAGUAUCUGUAACGUAUUUUAUCGAUGUCUCCCCUUUUUAUACACGCCCCUUGCCAAAUCACGAAUCACGGCAGGAAUUCAAGCUUGUCUUCAACCAAGGGUCAUGCUCGCACCCCUUCAACUGAUCAUUUUAUGUUUCCUGAUCGCGCAAACACUGCCGCCGGACGUCGUAGGCGAGAGUCUCUUGAUUUUAUAAGUCCAGAAAGGAUGCUGGUACAACAGUCGUCGAUGCACGUCCAUCAGCAUCUUGAAAGCCGCCAGGAAAGGCAUAAUCGCACGCGCAAGCUUUCCUCCACGGAAACUGUAUAUCCUUCGACUGACGCCGCUAAUAAAGUUCUUCAAUCGCAGAAAGCGGCCAAUCCGAAUCAUCGUAGGGCGCCAACGCCGCAUACAUCUCGACGCAGUCAUUCACAUGAGCGAAUCCAAAAAAUGUCGUCCGAUCGAUCUAUCCGCUCAAGAGUUUCCUUCGAUUCCACCAGGUCGCGAGGAAGUCAAAGGACAAUCCGUUCAGACUUGGGAUACGAGUCUGAUGAUGGCUAUUCUACUGGCAUCAAUGAUCCAAGUUUCGGGAUCACUAACGGAGUUGGCCCAACGGGAGAACCUGUUGAGAUGAUAGGGCUGGGUAGAAAAAAGCCUAAGCAUCGAGUUUUUCAGGCAAACAUGUUAAAACCGGCCCUGCGCAGUCCCACUAAACUCGCUAGUCGGCGUACUGUGGACGAAACGAACUCGGGAGCAUCGUGGAGUGAAAGAUCAGACAAACCUUCACCUUCGCGACCGAUGUCUUAUGUCGGGCCAGUCAUGGGCUCUUUCAGCAGCCUGAGAGAUGGUAUACGAAGUAACACUGGAACACGGUCAUGCUAUCCCUCCCACGAGGUAUACCCGAGAAAUUACCGGUCUGAGACGGGAUCUGACCUGCCCACGAAGGCACAUAAACCUAGAGCUUCAGCCCAUGCAAGAAGUUCUUCUCAACCUACCUGUCACGACGCUAUGCAGAAGUGAUACCCGAAACCGCCACCUCUCUCUGCCGCCGAACCAAAGUACCUCCACCUCCGACGACCGCGGCCGAUCGUCUAAAUUCUCUUUGGUUUCUCAACACCUCUCCUCGUCCUCCGGUCUCCCUCCAGUCAUCUCGCUACCUUCCCGUCUCCCUCGAGCUAUCCAUACAUGCUCUGGUCAGCAUGCUCACCACCUCCU